UCAGAGGUGAAAUUCUUGGAUUUGCUGAAGACUAACUACUGCGAAAGCAUUCGCCAAGGAUGUUUUCAUUAAUCAGGGAACGAAAGUUAGGGGAUCGAAAACGAUCAGAUACCGUUGUAGUCUCUUCUGUAAACUAUGCCAAUUGGGGAUCGGUACAGGAUUUUUAAUGACUGUAUCGGCACCCGAAGAGAAAUCUUUAAAUGAGGUUCGGGGGGGAGUAUGGUCGCAAGGCUGUAACUUAAAGAAAUUGACGGAAGG
rnacentral:rRNA from 15 species